GCUCUCUGUUUUCUCUUAAGAUUGUAUAAAUCUUUCGCAUUGCUAAGGAUUUUCAUGCAGAGAAUCUAUUCUGAGUUUUUAAAUAAUUUUUGAGGCUCUACAUGGUAGAGC